rnacentral:rRNA from 1 species
CAGGUACANCGGGAAGCCAGGCGGCGACGCCGAGCGGAACCCGAAAACCUGUCUCAGUUCGGAUCGGAGUCUGCAACCCGACUCCGUGAAGCUGGAUUCGCUAGUAAUCGCGCAUCAGCCAUGGCGCGGUGAAUACGUUCCCGGGCCUUGUACACACCGCCCGUCAAGCCAUGGAAGCCGGGGGUGCCUGAAGUGUGCAGCCGCAAGGAGCGCCCUAAGGUAAAACCGGUGACUGGGGCUAAGUCGUAACAAGGUACC